GGGCUGGGGCUCAGCGGUAGAGUGCUCAUCUCCCAUGUGUGAGGCCCUGGGUUCAAUCCUCAGCACUACA
rnacentral:tRNA from 1 species